UUUGAUCGCUCCAAGUCUACUUGGAUACACGGCCGGUACAGUAACACUGCGAAUGGCUCAUUAAAUCAGUUAUGGUUCCUUUGAUCCCUCCAAGUCUACUUGGAUAACUGUGGCAAUUCUAGAGCUAAUACAUGCAAACGAGCGCUGGAACUCUGGGGCAAUUUUAGAGCUAAUACAUGCAAACGAGCGCUGACCUUCGGGGAUGCGUGCCUUUAUCAGACCAAAAACCCAUCCGGGGUUCAGCCCCCGGCCGUUUUGUUGACUCUAGAUAUCCUCGGCCCGAUCGCACGCCCCCCGUGGCGGCGACGACUCAUUCGAAUGUCUGCCCUAUCAACCUUCGAUGGUACUUUCUGUGCCUACCAUGGUGACCACGGGGAAACGGGGAAUCAGGGUUCGAUUCCGGAGAGGGAGCCUGAGGAACGGCUACCACAUCCAAGGAAGGCAGCAGGCGCGCAAAUUACCCACUCCCGACUCGGUGAGGUAGUGACAAAAAAAACAAUUACAGGACUCUUUCGAGGCCCUGUAAUUGGAAUGAGUACACUUUAAAUCCUUUAACGAGGAAUCCAUUGGAGGGCAAGUCCGGUGCCAGCAGCCGCGGUAAUUCCAGCUCCAAUAGCGUAUAUUAAAGUUGCUGCAGUUAAAAAGCUCGUAGUUGGAUCUUGGGAUCGAGCUGGCGGUCCGCCGCGAGGCGAGCUACCGCCUGUCCCCGCCCCUGCCUCUCGGCGCCCCCUCGAUGCUCUUAGCUGAGUGUCCCGCGGGGUCCGAAGCGUUUACUUUGAAAAAAAUUAGAGUGUUCAAAGCAGGCCGGUCCCCUGAAUAUUCUGCAGCUUUGAAUGGAAUAGAGACUCCGGUUCUAUUUUGUGGGUUUCCUGAACUGGGGCCCAUGAUUAAGAGGGACGGCCGGGGGCAUUCGUAUUGUGCCGCUAUAGGUGAAAUUCUUGGACUGGCGCAAGACGGACGAAAGCGAAAGCAUUUGCCAAGAAUGUUUUCAUUUAUCAAGAACGGAAGUCGGAGGGUCGAAGACGAUCAGAUCCCGUCGUAGUUCCGACCCUAAACGAUGCCGACUAGCGAUCCGGCGGCGUUAUUUCCAUGACCCGCCGGGCAGCGUCCGGGAACCCAAAGACUUUGGGUUUCGGGGGGGGUAUGGUUGCAAAGCUGAAACUUAAAGGAAUUGACGGAAGGGCACCACCAGGAGUGGAGCCUGCGGCUUAAUUUGAGACUCAACACGGGAAACCCUCCCCGGCCCGGACACGGAAAGGAUUGACAGAUUGAUAGCUCUUUUCUUCGAUUCUGUGGGGUGGUGCAUGGCCGUUCUUAGUUGGUGGAGCGAUUUGUCUUGGUUUAAUUCCGAUAA
rnacentral:rRNA from 1 species